CUUCAUCGAUGUGCAUCCUAACUGUCAGUCAUGUAUCUUCGCGUUGUCGCAUCAACAAAAAACAACUAGUUUUAUUUUGUUUCUUUACGCGGUUGUAUACUUGGAACAGGAAGUUUAGCUUAGUUUAUGAGCAUUAAUUAGUGGUUUCUAUAGAUAAAUCAUUCAUUAAAUAAAGUGACACAAAUCGCAGCUCCAGCAGUAGAAAUUUGUGGAAGAAAUGCAUCAGGAAUGUUGGCUUUUCCCCCGGACUACAGAUCACUAGAAUCGGAAUCGGACGGAAAUUCUGAUGAGCCGGGAAGCAUAACAACGAUUCAUCCGAAGUCAUACUCAACCCUCGGUUUCGAAUCAUAUGCAAAUAAUACAAGGAAUGAAUCGCCAUUGGUUGCCGUAAUGAAUAGCCGGAAGUAUAUUCGAAACAACGAUUCUAAGCAACAAGGGAGGCAGUAGUUUUUAUCGAUCCAGUAAAACUAUUUCUUUUAAUUAGAAACACCGCAAUAUAAUGGAGUCAAUAAAGUUGUGUGAUCAUGUGUAU